GCCUCGACGGCGCAGUAGGCAGCGCGUGAGUCUCAUCAUCUCAAGGUCCUGAGUUCGAUCCUCACUCGGGGCA
rnacentral:tRNA from 1 species